rnacentral:rRNA from 1 species
UGCGUAGGCGUUUUGUUAAGUCGAAUCUGAAAGCCCCCAGCUUAACUGGGGAGGGUGAUUUGAAACUGGCAGAAUUGAGUACGGCAGAGGUUAGUGGAAUUCAAUGUGUAGCGGUGGAAUGCGUAGAUAUAUUGAGGAACACCAGUGGCGAAGGCGGCUAACUGGACCGGAACUGACGCUGAGGCACGAAAGCGUGGGGAGCAAACAGGAUUAGAUACCCUGGUAGUCC